rnacentral:tRNA from 4 species
CGGGGUGUGGCGCAGCUUGGUAGCGCGCGUCGUUCGGGACGACGAGGCCGCAGGUUCAAAUCCUGUCACCCCGACC